CCCGCCCCCCCAGCCCGCAGCCCCGGCCCCAGCCCUCCCGUCGCCUAUAUGUACCCUGUAGGCUCGAAUUUGUGUGAGCGUCUCUAAGUCACAAAUUCGUCUCUAGGGGAAUAUAUGGGCGAUGCCAGAGCCUUGGAAAGUUGUGCUUUCCUUUGAUUCCCUUUAAUUGCAGCGGUUCUAAUUAAAUCCUCAAAUCCUGCUGAUGUCAUUUUAAAAGGUAGUUAUUCAAGUGCAAAGCAGCGUUUGCCGUUUGCCAGGGCAGCGCCGGAGCGGGCUUGUUAAAAAGAAGAAACAGCAGCUACCGCAAACACAACUCUCAGCCAAGAGCACAAAGAGCCCCGACCAUUUCGCAGUGACUGAUUUAUGGCGUUUUACAACCCCAUAAAAAGCUGUAACAACCAGCCAAAAGCCUUCGACACCGCUGGCACAUUUAGUCUAAUAAAUAAAACAUAAACAGUUAA